GCUGGAAACAGGAAGGGACAGACCUCAGAGAAGGACAAGAGGUUUGAGGAGUUAUGUGAAGCAGCAGUCAUGAGCAGAAGGGUCAAUGCUGGGAUGGGCUCCUUGGUGGUUCUGCACCUGGCCUGCAGUUGCAGAGGAAAGGAGGACAUUUACCAGGCCAUCCAUCAUCACAGUGUCACAAGACUGUGGGGUACCCCUGCAGACAGCCAGAAACUUCAGCUGGCCACAGAAAGGCAGAAGGGGUCUGGAUAAGGGAGUGAGAAGAAAUGAUCUACAGCCCACAGGGCAGAAAAAGCCCAGCAGCCUGCCCAUGGCCACCCUCACAUUCACUAAGAAGGGUGGCCUCCAGCAUGGCCAGCUCGCUUGGCCCUGACCCUACCGGAAGACUUCUUUAAGCUCUGUCAGUCCUCCUGCCUGUGCCUUUCCAUUAGGUCACAUGUCCUGCAGUAUGGACCAUGGGAGAUGGAGGCAGAGAAAGCCAGCAGGAGCUGGCUCUUGGCUAGGCAGCAGGCUGGUGGCUCCUUUGUACAGGUCAACAAGCUAUGAUGUGUCGUCAGUGCUUUAUAGUCAAGAACAAGUCUCUCCAAAGUUUGCUUGUUCUAAGUAAGGCAGGCCAUUCCACAGAGUAACAAAGCCCUCAUGGUUUUUCAGGGCAGAGUGAUCUAGAGUCCUCGUUGGAGGAAGUGCGUCAUUGUGGGGUGGGCUUUGAGAGACCCUCUUCAGACCCCAGCAAAACAGCACUUGUAGUUGUAGGGUAUAUACUGCAGAAAAAAAAGCUCAGGACUAGGUUUGCUCGACAACUCUGACAUCCUGUCUUUCCUGAGCGUGUAGGUAACGCCAGCUGGGACCACUAUCUGCCCACUAGAUAGUGAGUUUGAGGCUUAAUUCUAGGACAGCCAAGGAAAGGGUACCCAAAGAAACCCUGUCUCAAAAAAACAAAACAACUCAAAUAACAAUAACUUCCCCUAAAACAAACAAACAACCAACCAAAAAACAAACAAAAAAACAAAAAACAAAACAAAGAACAAAGAGAAAGACUAAAACUACGCCUAAAGGUACACACAGGUCAGUAACUCGGAGGUUAGGAGGUUGAGGCAGAUCACAAACUCUGGCAAUUUAGCAAGAUCCUGUCUCAAAAUGACAAAAACAUGGAAUCAGCAAUAGUGAACACCUUUAAUCCCAGUGCUCCUAGGCAAAGGUAGGUGGAGCUAGUGCUAGGACAGUCAGGGCCACACAGAGAGACCCUGUUUAAAUCAAGCACCACCACCACCACCACCAUAAACUGAGAGCUGUAGUGGUCAGCACUCACCUACCAAGCAUGAGCUCCAAGCACUAUCAACCACUGCCCAGCACUACCAAAAACAAGCAACAGAGGCAGGGAAGUGAGUCCAAAGCCUUCCCACCCCAGGGGCAGUGCUGUUGACGUCUCCUAAACAGAACAAUUGUUAUUGGAGAAACUGAGGCCUAAAGGGGGUUUCUGUAUACCAAGUGCCAUCAAGAACCUCCAGCUUCUAAGGGACCUCCUUCUCUUAAGCUGCCCCAAAGGCCAGCUACCUCAGGCAAGGGCAUCUAGUCAACUGGAACAGCUGUAUCAGCUCAAAGACUGAACUCUGCUGACCGCCAUAUAAAACUUGCUUUCCUGACAUUUUUCUCCCCACCCCACGAUGUUGGCAGUUCGAUUCCCAACAAACCUUUCUUGUAUACUCGUGAGUUGAUACAGAAAGAAGAAAAAGACUACUAAAAAUAAGAGGCAAGCUGGAGCACAAAAACCACACAGGGACCAUGAAGACGGAAGAGGCCUUUGGGUGCUACAAAGAUGGCUCAUGGGUACUCAUGGGUAAGAAUGCCUGUGUGUAAGCAUGAGGACCUGGGUCUGGACCCUCCGCACCAGGGAAGGAGUGGUUGGGAACUCCUAUACACACAGUGUAAAGGGGUAGAGACAGGGGUUUGCUGGGACUCGUUAGCUACUAGCCUAGCUGAAAAAAUGAUGAACUGCAGCCCCUGGGAGACGCCCUGUAGCUACUGCCUUCUGGACGCACGCACGCACGCACGCACAUACACACACACUCUUAUAGUAAAUAAAAGAAUUGAAAAUCAGUGAAACCAAGAGUUGUUUCUUUGAAAAGUCAAUUAAGUACGAUCCAUAGACACUUAGCUAACUGGAAGAAAAAGACCGCAACAAAAAGGAGAUGAAAAAGGGAAGUUGCAAAAGAUACCAAUGAAAUCUAGAGGGUCAUUAGGGAAUGCUUCCGGAAAUCUGUAUUCAAAACCUCUACAGGAGCUCUUAGACAUAAGGAUGAGUUCUUAGACACAUCUGACCUACAAACCUACUCAAGAACACACAGAGAGCAAAUGCUUUGAUAAGAAAGGAGACAGAAACAGCAGUGUCUCCCCAGACAGAAAAGCCUAGAGCAGAGGGCUGGCUUCAUGGUUUCUUUCAAAAGACCUUAAAAAGGAGCAAACAGCAAGCUCUUGACACCAGCCCACAAGGCAGCGAGGACUGGGUGUUAUCAAACGCACUCUAUGGAGCCAUCAGACUCCUACCAAAAGUCAGACAAGGACAAAACAAAAAGGGAAACUACAGACCGAUUUCCCUGAAGAACACAGAUAUGGAAAUAUGGAAAUUCUCAAUAAAAUACUUGCAAAGUGAAUUCAACAACAUAAAAAGUCAUACAUUACAAUCAAGUGCGUUUUAAUCUAAAGAUGGGGGAGUGGGUUAUCAUAUGCAAACCAAUACAUUACAGUGCACAGAUAACACAGAAACCACGUCUCUGAAGAUGUAGACAAGGCCUCUGACAAAGCUCAACAUCACUUCAGAAUAAAAGUGCUGAAGAAACUAGAAAUAGAAGGAAGAUACCUCAACAUAAUAAAAGCUGCAUUCAACAAGCCUAUAGCCAACAUUAUAUAAUCAGAGAAAUUCAAAGCACUUCCUCUGAAAUUAUAAAGGGGACAGGAUGUGGACUCUUCAAUCUUGUUCAAUACAGCGCUUGAACUCUUAGCUAGACUGCAAUAAGGCAAGACAAACAGAUAAUGCGUAAAUGGAUAGGAAAGGAAGAAGCUGAGUUACCCAAAUUUGCCAAUGACAAAGCUCGACCAAAACUGAACCCCAAUGUACACUAUAAGCAAAUCAGUAGGAUAAAAAACUGACAUUAAAAAUUAGAGCUUAUGGAACUGGAGAGAUGACGCAGUCAUUAGGAGCACUGAAAGCUAGAAGACUUUUAAGCUCAGUUUCUAGCACCAAUACUGACUGUAAGCCCAGUUCCAGGAGAUCUCAUGCUUUCUGGCCUCUGUAGGCACCACAAUGAAUGUGGUGAAUGUAAAUUCAUGCAGGCAUGCGCGCGCACGCAAACACACACACACACACACACACACACACACACCACACCACACACACACACACCAUACACACAAACACCACACCACACACACACACCCUCACCAUACAGACAAACACCACACACACACACCACACAUAUACACCCUCACCAUACACACACCACACACACACACACCACACACACACACACACACACACACACACACACACACACAAAUCUUUUUUUUUUUUUUUUUUUGGUUCUUUUUUUCGGAGCUGCUGGGGACCUAACCCAGGGCCUUGCGCUUCCUAGGCAAGCGCUCUACCACUGAGCUAAAUCCCCAACCCCACACAAAUCUUUUAAAAAUUAGGAGCUUUUCUAUAAGCUAAUAACAAACUUGCUGGGAAAGAAAUCACAGAAGCUGGGCAUGGUGACACACCCCCAUAAUCUCAAAAUAUGAGAGGUGAAGGCAGGAGGAUGAUUACUUCGAGGUCACUUUGGGUAAUGAAACCUUGUCUCCAAACUCUAUUAAAGGAGCUAGAAAGAUGGUUUGUCAGUUAUGAGCUCUUGCUACUUUUACAGAGGACCUGGUUCAGUUCCAUGUGGUGGCUCAUACUGGCCAUAGCAUCCCUAGUUCCAGGGAUCCAAUGCCCUCUUCUGAACCCACUGGCACUGCACGGAUGUAGUGCACAUACACACAUGCAGGCGGACACUUUACACCACCACCACAGCAGACCUCUGAAACAUAUCAGGAGGAAUGGGUGGAGGGCUCAGUUAGUCAAGCGCUUCCAUGUAGUAUGAAGACUACAUGUAGUAGGUAGGGUUACGAUUCCCAGCACCAAGGGAAAGCUGAACAUAGCAGCACACAUCUGUAACCAUGGAAACAAGUACAUCAAUCCUGAGGUUUCACUCCUUAGCCAGUCUGUCAGGGAGAGAUAGUGUCUCAAACAAACAAACAAACAAACAAACCAACCAGUAAUAACAACAAGAAAGCAGAGGGCUGUGGAGAGGCACAUGAUGCUGACCUCUGGAUUCCACAUGUGCAUGCACAGGCACACAUCCACAUGUGCAUGCACAGGCGUACAUCCACAUGCACACACGUAUAUACCAAACACACAAAGUGCAGUAAGAAAAUUAUAACAGCAUCAACAAACCAACAAGCGGGAGCUAGAGAGAUGUCUCAGAGGUUGGGAGCACUGACUGCUCUUCCAGAGGACCCUGGUUCAAUUCCCAGCACCCACAAGGCAGCUCACAGCUGCCUAUAACUCCAAUAUCUGACACCUUCACACAGACAUACAUGCAGGCAAAACACCAAUGCACAUAAAAUAAAAAUAUAUAAUUUACAAAAAGCAAACAAGCAAGCACAAAGCAACAAUAGAAAAUGUAGAAACUGUAAUGCUUUAAGCUAACGAGGGAGGCGAGAGAGCAUUACAAUGAAAACUUUGAACAGUGGAGGACCCUUAGAAGGUGGAAACAACCUUCCACACUCACGGACAGCACAGCACAGAACUGUUCACAGAAGCACAGCACACUGAUGCAGUGGAAUUUAACACUGUCUGUGUAGUAUGGCUACUUGCCAGCUCUGCCGGCUUUGGUGUUAUAAUGUUUGCUCUGCCAGGCCGAGUCCUCAGGGCAGGCAGAGCAAACAACACUGGACGGCCAAUAACAUUGUGGCACGGAGGAGAUGGCUGUGGAAGGUGGCUCAACAGCUAGCAAAGAAGAUGGAUUCGGGAGACACAGCUUGCUCAGGGUGGGGUCACUCGAGGGUAGGUGCCUGAGGACUCCUUUAAUUCAGCCAGAGCCCACAGUGCUACAAAAGGCCACACUAUUACUCUAGCUUUAGAGGUGCCCCAAAUACGGACAUAAAUCUCUACAAACUCCAGCUCUGAAACCUGCUAAAAACCACUAAAAAUGUCUCCCCAAGGCCUUUCAAGCACUAGCAAGUCUGAAAACUGAGUCAUUUGUUUUGAGUACUUUGUGGAAACUUCACCCCCAAAUCACUAUCAGAGCGAGGUUUUAACAGAGACCAGGAAACAAAAAUAGAGGCUUCUGCUCCAUUCCCAUGGUAUCCGCUGUGCUGCACCUCUGCUCAGCUCGGAGGAUGUCCUGGAUGAGACAGGAAGCUGAGCAGAGGUGCCGAGGACCGAAGGGCACACAGGUCACUCAGUCUGCUGUGAAUCCACUACACACUUCCCAACCUGACUCAGAGGAUCCUCCUGACCGCUGCAUCUUUUUUAUGGACUCCUCGGCAGUCCACCCUCCUGAACUUACUGUUUAAUUUGUAGAAAAGUCCCUGUUGGUUCAUCAUUAACCUGUGGGUGACAUCCGUGAACUCUCCCACAGCUCCUAGAGUCAGUGUCCCCACAAGGCCUAGGACCCCGGAGCCAGAGGAGGGAGCCAGAUCAGUAUCACAUACCCAGGUCUGUAUUCAGCUCUGCCACCAAUGUGGCAGGUCACCAGAGCUCGCCAAGGCCAAAAGGCAAAGCUCCACUGGGUCAGUACUGCUGGGCUGUCCCCGAGACAAGGAAAAGCAGCACUGCCCAAAAGGAGUGAGUUUGUAGGGUGUUUAAGCUGAGCAGGAGUGGGACUGCAGUAAGCUGAGUGCGGUGUGUGUGUGCACACGGGAGCACACGCUCGUGUGCUUGUGUUGGGGGCUCUGGCUGUCAGAAAGGCAGAAGGCUGAGGUUAAGUGUUCUGCUGAGACAUGGGGUCAACAGACUUCCGAGAAGGGUAGAACAUUUAGUUUUCCUUUUCCAAGGGGCUGGACCCCACAAGGUUCCUCCGUCUUGGUGUUCUCAGCGACUCCAUCUUGGGUCAAAGCUCUGGGACAACUCUACAGUCCUACUGGACCUAAGGCCUCUGACCCGCCCUGAGCUGGAAUCUUCCUCUCUGUCACCAGAGGCUGUUCUGAGACAGAAGCUGGCUACUGCAGUGCAUGCCUAUAGUCUUAGCACUUGGAAGGCUGGUGCAGGAGGAUCACUGCAAACUCGAGGUCAACCUUGGCUACACAGAGACUGUGUCUGGACAAAACAGAAAGCCCGGCAUGGUGGCAUAGGCACUCAGCACUCAGGGCAAAGAGGCUGGAGGAUCAGGAGUUCAAACUUAUCUUUGGCUACACAGUAAAUCUGAGAUCAGGCAAUAGACAGAGACCCCAUCUUUAAAAGGCCAACAGUGAACCAAACCUAAAGGAAGAGGGGGGAGCGGCCACUUGCUGUGCUGCCACAAAGAAGGACAGAUGUGUCUAAAGCACUCAGGCUUCCUCAGGGGACCAUCUAUGAUAGCUCAGUGUCACCCCUAACUCUAGAAAUGACCGUCAGGGGCUGGAGACAUGGCUCAGCAGGUAAGAGCACUGACUUUCUUCCAGAGGAUGUGGGUUCAAUUCUCAGCACCCACACGGCAGCUCAUAAUGUCUGUAACUCCAAGAUCUGACACCCUCACACAGACAUACAGUGCAGGCCAAAUACCAACCAGUGCACAUUAGGAAGAAAGAAAGAAAAACAGAAGGAAUGAAAUGCACUGUUAAGGACUCCACUGGGAGCCUUAGCAGGGGCGGGUCCCAGGAAGGCUCUGCUCAUAGUAGGCUGUGUGACAGACAGGCCCUUAAACUGUUCAAGGCAGGGGUUGGGGAUUUAGCUCAGUGGUAGCAAGCGCAAGGCCCUGGGUUCGGUCCCCAGCUCCGAAAAAAAGAAGGAAAAAAAAAAAAAACUGUUCAAGGCAGCAAAGCCACUUGCUGGUGAAGUAGAGAGAAAGUCCUCUGGCUUCUACUUCUUGGGGGUAAAAUAAAGGUUGAGGGAAAGGGUCCGUCUGGAAAAGUGCUUCAUGAAGGUCCACGCACACACGCACAAAGCUGCUUUCCUCUCCCCUCAGCAACGACGUGAGAGCAUCUGGACUUAUACAUUCCCAGGCAAAGCGAUUCCUUCACCACACACUACAGUAUGUAGAGUGAGCACGCACAGCUCUGUUGGGCAGCACUGCUGAAGGAGUCCAUGUUUAGCAGCCACUUGGCAUCCGUCACUGCUUCACUCAGAGCACAGCUGUGGGAUCCUUUCAUGGGACUUUACUCCAUUUUAGCAGUUUCCUGCACCAAGCUGUUGAUCACCUUCAAAUCACUCCAACUAAGACUUCUUCUCCCAUUUUAGUUCUGUCUUCUUGAGGUUAUCGUGGAAUCGAGAUGGAGAAAGGGACAGAAGCUUAUGGUUUGACACAUGUCCCUGUGCUGUCCUGCUCCCCCAUGACCAGGAUGCACAGAGAGGUUCCUGUGGCAGAGACUGGGGACCAGGUCUUUGCCACCACAAUUGUAGUCUAGCUCUUUCCUCAACAUGGCCAUUGCUAUGUGCCCAUGCCCUGCUCACAGCCCACUGCCAUCACAGAUGCACAACUGCGGUCAAUAGAGCUGGGGCUGUCAGUGGAAACCACUGGGAAACACAGGACUGCACACAAGAGUGUGGGGAAGAAAUAAGGAUCAGAACAGAAAUAGAGAAGAUACAGGAAAACAAUAUAGAAAACCAAUAAAACCAAAGACGGAAUUUGAGAAGAAGAUAAAGCAGACAAAGUCUAUGACGGGCUGAGAAAACAGGGGAGGAGGAGACGGCUUAGUGAGUCAGCCACCUGCAUAUAAGCAGCGACUGCAGUUCACCUCAGAGCCCACGUGUAGUCAGACACGGUAGUGCACACCUGUAAUCCAGCACUCUGGGGAAAGAUGGGCGGCAGAGACAGGAGAACCCCUGGAAAUUCCCCAUGCCAAACAAGGGAGAAGGGGAGGGACACUGGAUCUCCUCAUGUGCAGUGUGCGAGUCCAUAUUCAUGUGCAUUAAAGUACACACAUGUCACACAAAAGGAAAGGAAAGAGACCUGAAUUAUUAAAAUCAGAAGUACAGGGGUUGGGGAUUUAGCUCAGUGGUAGAGCGCUUGCCUAGGAAGCGCAAGGCCCUGGGUUCGGUCCCCAGCUCUGAAAAAAAGAAAAAAGAAAAAAAAAUCAGAAGUACAAUCAUACAGAAAUAAAAAGGGCCACGAGAAUACCAUAUGGAAACUGGAUGCCAAUAAGUUAGAUGUCACAGAUGAAGAAGUUACUACAAAACCAGAAACUGCUUGGUUUGAAUCAAGAUUAGAACAGACAACAAGUAAAGAGACUGGGUCAGUAAUGAUGGGACUGGAGGGAGGGCUUGGCAGGUAAUAGCGCUCUGCACAAGCCUGAUGACCUGAGCUCCUCAGCUGCAGCCCAGGGUGGCCAGAAACCACCAGCUGAAGCCGUCCUGUGAUCUGCAUAUGCCUGCCAUACACCAUGCACUCACAAUAGUAAUAAUAAAUAAACAAACAAAUAAAUAUUGAACAACAACAACUCCUCAUGCUCAGGAUUUGAGUUUGGACUUCAACACCAUCUGUAAUUGGAGCACUGGGAGACCUCACAUCUCUUUCCAACCUCUUUGGACACAUACAUGGUAUACUCCUACAUAGACGCAUAAAAAAAAUCUUAAAAAGACAAGUUGAAUUCUAAAGGCAGAAGCAGGCAGAUCUUUGAGUUUGAGUCCAGCUUAGUCUACACAGUAUGCCAGUCAAGGCUCAUAGUAUGACUCUUUCCCAAACAAAACAAACAACACACAAAAAACCCAAGCCCAGGCAAAUAUUGCUACCCUGAUAAAUUCUGACAAAUGCCUAAAAGCUCCAUGAGCCCUUUCAAACGGAAGAGAAGUAUUUCAACCGUCUUUUUUUUUUUUUUGUUUUUUUGUUUUUUUUUUUGUUUUUUUUUCCGGAGCUGGGGACCGAACCCAGGGCCUUGCGCUUCCUAGGUAAGCGCUCUACCACUGAGCUAAAUCCCCAGCCCUCAACCGUCUUUUUACAGCAGCGGUGGAGACGGAACUCGGGCCUGCGGCGCUGCCCGCCUGGUACAAGCUCUACUACUGUGCUCUGCCUCCAGCCGCCUACCACACGUUCACUUUAGAGAUCGGCAGUACCUUGACACCAAGUCACAGAAACUUGUGACAAGAACAGGAAGUCAAAGAUCAAUAUCCCUCAGGAAUGUGGAGGUAAAAUCCUCGAUAGUACCAGCAAGCAAACCCUGAUGGAGUUCUACUGUCAUAAAGGCCGGGGAAGAACUCCCAUGCUGAGAUAUUGAAGAGCUCUGAGCACACCUCACCAGGGAGAGACUCUGCUCCUCAGCAGGAGUCCAUUAAUAUGCAGUGUACAGACUAGGGAAGCAGGAAGUGAUCAGUGGCAGCCACAGGCUUUUGGGUUCGAGAUUUCUGAGAGCAAAGAAGUCUAACUGGUGGUCUGGAUGAUGGCAUGUCCCAGGAUUGCAGCGGUGAGGCACAGCUUCAUGAACACACUAGGAACAACAUGCAGUACCACAUGCGGUACACUGCAGAAGGCUUUGAGCAGCAAGCGACUGAGUACUCACAGGGCACACCUCUCCAUGUAGCCCUGGAGUUGUCCUAAGAGCUCCCUCUUACUACUGGCAAGUUCUUUCCGGCUGGCUCUGCUUACCUGGACCGGUGGCUCAAUCGUGAUCCAGGCUGGAAGCAUCAGACUGGGAUUCAGAGGCUGGGUUCCAACACGGAAGUAAAGCCCACCCUUGGAGUCGCAGGCCCAGAUAUGCUCAUUUCCACAGGCCAAGCUGGUCAGCCUCACAGCUCCUGCAGAGGCGGGAAACACACACUGUAAUUAGCUUGACAAAUGACAGAUCUUCAGUGUAUAAACUCCACUUCAAAGAAAGACAGGAGGCUCCGUCUGCAGUUGAUGCAGGUGUGUGUCAUCCGGAUGUCCUGCCACACCAGGCUUCCUGCCGGUGCCUCAGAGCAUCCUGUGUAGCUAUGAUGCCAUCAAGCACAGUACAUCCUUCAUUAACUUCAUCCAACAUGUAACCACUGCUAGUAAAUGCUCUCGGUGUGGAAAGGGGGCUCAUAUUUACUAAGAUUAAGAGUAAAUCUAAAUAACUGAAUGAAGACUGUGAAGAAAAAAGAGUAAAUCUAAAGAAUCCUCACUUUUAUUUUUGCACUUUCUCUGUGCUACUUAAACUAGCUGCUGCCAUAGGAGGGAAUGGAAUGGAAGGAGUCAAGAAAAGGAAGCUGGGCUGAGAGGGUGUGGCCUAGCCCAGAGCACCUGAUAAAGCACCUCAAGGGGAAAAAAACGAAGAGAUCAUAUUUGACAAUAGUCUAGCAACUAAAGAAUGCGACAGCCAAGUUACUCAACAUCUAUCUACGGUAAGACAGGCUCUAGCCGGUCUCUCACAGCUUCACUUCACACCUUCCAGCAACGGUAAAUGGUUCAAACCUGGGAAUGGCAGGAUGGUGGGCAACCCAGGAAGCUAAGAAGGACAGCAGGCUUGAACCCAGACCAGCUACCUCUGACUUCUAAGUCCUUAUAAACAGCAAGUGUACAGGCUGUGUUCAGGUUCAAGUCUAGACUUUACAGUCAGUCGAGAACCACCCACACCUAUCUAGACAUAGAAAUUCUGUCUCACUAGGAAUUUCCUUAGGUCCCUCCCUGCCAUGGCCUCUACUUGAGGCCAGGGUCUCAUGUACCCCAGGCUGCCCUGACAUCUACCACCAGAGCUUAGUUCGGUCCUUAUUAGGGGUUCACACAGGCAGCAUGAAGUCCACGUGCUACAGUAAGAGGCAGCAUGAGGCAGCAGCCACUGCCUUUGUGGCUAAGUAUCAUCCCAUUGCACACAAAUGCCACCGAGAGUUUCUGUAUUUAUCUACUGAUGGCCAUUCAGGUCAUUUCCAUGUCUUGCUAUUACAGCAAAACUGUUAUGGCCAUUCUUGCAUAAAUUUUGUUUUUGUGUAGCAAGCUAGGCCUCACAGUACAGAUCUGAAAUCCCAGUCCUUGAAAGGCUGAGGGAGGAGGAUUAUUUUUAAAGCUAUCCUGGACUUCACAAUGAGAUCAUGUCUCAAAGGGAGAAUGAGGAAAGAAGAAACAUGUAUUACUUUUAAUUCAAAGAUUUUUAAUUUUUAUUUUAUGUGAUUGUUUUGUCUGCAUGUAUGUAAGCACACCAUGUGUGUGCGGUGCCUGAAGAGGGCAGAGGGAAGUGGAUGGAUCCUUUGUAACUAGAGUGAUAGAUGGUUGUGAGUCACCGUGUGUGUGUGUGUGUGUGUGUGUGAAGCUGAACCCAGGUCCUCUGGAAGUGCAGCCAGUGCUUUCGGCCACUGAACCAUCUCUCCAGCCCCUCCCUUCACAUGUGUGUAAGUCAGAGGACAACUUAUAAGAGUGGAUGCUUCCCUUCUACCACACGGUUCCAGGGAUGGAAUCAGGCCUUCGAGAUCACUUUUAAAGAGAAUGCCGGUUUCUCCAAGUUGUACCACUUACAUGCCUACUAGCAGACUUGCUUAUAUCCUUAUUAGCACAGGGGUUUUUGUUUGUCUGUUUUUUGGUUUUUUGAUACAGGGUUUCUCUGUGUAGGCCUGGCUGUACUGGAACUUACUCUGUAGGCUAGCCUGGACCUCAGAGAUCUAGCUGCCUCUGCCUCCUGAGUGGUGGGAUUAGAGGAAUGUGCCACCACAGACCAGUGUUUGCUGUUGUCUGUUUGCUUGCUUAUUUAUUUAUUUUAUGUAUGAACCAUUGUACACCAGAAGAGGGCAUCAGAUCCCAUUAUAGAUGGUUGUGAGCCAGCAUGUGGUUGCUGGGAUUUGAACUCAGGACCUCUGGAAGAGCAGUCAGUGCUCUUUUUUUUUUUUUUCUUUUUUCGGAGCUGGGGACCGAACCCAGGGCCUUGUGCUUGUUAGGCAAGCGCUCUACCACUGAGCUAAAUCCCCAAUCCCGUAGUCAGUGCUCUUAACUGCUGAGCCAUCUCUCAGUUACACUGACUGUAUCUUGUAGCCCAGGCUGGCCUCAACUUGCUAUGUAGCCAAGGAUGACCCUGAACUUCUCACUGAAUGUAGGACUCAUACACUACUAGGCAGGCACUUACUCAGUUUCUUCACCAGAUGCUUAAGAUUGAGAAAAGCUUGUUUUAUUCUGACUAACCUUGUACAACUACUAUAGACAUAGACAGAAGGGAGAGCUGUCUCUUUUCUUAUUCUUCCCUAAACAAAGCCUUUCCCUUUGUUUUGAGGCAGGGUCUUGUAUAAACAAAGCUGGCCUGCAAGCAACUGUGUAGCCAAGAGGUGGCAGUGGACUCCUGAUCCUGCUUCCACCUCUCAAGUGCUGGGAUUGCAGACGUAGCCUCUGCUCUUAGAUAGACAGACAGCCUCCGUCUCCUUUCCUAGCUUUAAGGCACUCCUCGAGCAUGCUGCAUUGUCUGAGUGUGGCCAAGAGCUUCUGGCAGGCUUUGUCUAGCUUCAGCUGUAGGUCAGAUUCAUAGCAGUAUCUCCGGAGCAGCCAGGUCAUGGUUCACAUCCUCUGUCCCAGUGGACCCUGCACUGACUGCACUCCUUCACACAUCUAUGCCCAGAAACCACCUAGCCAGCAAGCCAUGGUGUUUCUGUAGCAUCGAGCCAUGGAAUGAAGCCAUAGGCCUGUGCGUGAUCGGCCUAUGUGUGAUCCGCCUGCGAUCUGCUGGUAGGAGCUGGCAUCAAUAUGCUCCUAUGAAUCCUAUUGGCCUUUUUGCUAUAGUGGAGGAUACUGGAAGCCACCGUCUUAUGGUUGGAGCAUCCUCAUGGCAACAGUAAAAGAAAGAACUCUCUCUGGCCACACUUCCCCCAUCACCGGGUACUUUUUAGUGUCAGCCAUUUAAACCACAGCUUGUCAUGACCUUAAUUUGCAAUUCUUUGCUAAGGAAUGACAUUCAGAAGCUUUUACUGUGCUUAUGGGCCAUGCGUAUGCUUUCUUUGAACAAGAACACAUGCAUGUCAGGUGUGGUGAUGUCUUACCAGAUGGACAUCCUAGAAUUAUGACCUUACAUGGGAAGUCCACAAUAAAGCAAUGUCUGCAAUAAUAUAUAGUGAAAAAGGCAGGGACCCGAACGCUGACUACAGACGAUCUUAUUCGGAAUCUGUAACCUGCCAGGUGAAAGCGUGAGGCAGUAGCAGAGCACGAUGGAGUCACAUGGGGGCAAACCCACACUGGGCUGGCAUCUCAGAGUUAACAAACAGAUAACAUUGGGACAGGUGGGAGCUCAUGUAAGGCGAGCGGAUCUGGGCUCAGAGCAAAGAGAGCCUACUGAAUGCACACCCCAGAGGGCAUUUUGGGUCCAGGAGCCAGGUCAAGGACAAAAACACUCAGUUGGGGCUCACUCUUUUUUACUUCAGAUGUUCUAUGUGUGUCCACAGGGUCGGGUGGCAGAACCUCCUCCCUCUGUGAGCUUUCUCUGUGCGUCUCACAUUCCUUCAGGCUUACAGCCAUGGCAGGGUCUAGUGAUCGAAAGUGCUGUGCCCCCUCUGAACUAAAGUCUAAGUUAGUAGGCUUUCUCCUCUGCUCUCCCCUCUAGAGAGACGCACCCAGAGCAGUGCAGCCUCACUAAGGCACUGUGAGGACAGGGAGCUGCUGGUGCCCGGGGCUGGGACUAGGGGGAGCCCAGCCUUUUUUAUUUGCUUCAUCAAGGAGAAAAGCUUUUAUUUUAUUCCCCCAAACAGGCACUUUCUUCUUAAAACUGCUUUUUAAAAAAGGUGUGUGUGUGUGUGUGUGUGUGUGUGUGUGUGUGUGUGUGUGUCAUUAAUAGCACAACCUGUCCUUGACCUUCUGCGCCUUGCUUCCUCAGCUGGGAUUACAGGGUGUACCACCCACCCUAUCAUAGAAUCCUUUUCAGUGUGAGGUUCAGAACAGUUCAGUGUUUGCUGGUUGUUUCCUGGAGUAUAAAAUUCUUCUCCACUAAACUAUUGCAUGAUAUAAUCUUGUUUGAUACCUAAGGCACAAACUGACAAUGAUAUGUCUUCAAUACAUGCUGUGACUAGAUGAAUUAAACCACUGCAUUAGUUUGCUAAAUGGCCUAGUGUCUGACACUCAUAUUUAUGAAUAAUGGGAAAUGAAAUAUGAGUAUCUUAAAUAUUUGCUAAAUCAUGCCCAUUUUCCUCCAAAAGCAAGGAUUGUAACAGACCACUGUAAAAUUCCAUAUUCUAUCUCUUUAGCUGGGUUCAACAGUCAUUUAAUAAAUGUGUAAAUUUCA